rnacentral:misc_RNA from 1 species
CAACCCUCAGGCCCUGUACUGCCUGGCGUUGGGGCCUUCUGCGAGCGUUAAUCAAAAACUCUCGCAGGCCCCCAAGAUCAGUGGCGGGCCCUCCGUGGCUCCGAGCGUAGUAGUUUACUUUCUCGCUUGGGAGAAUCGGCGGUUCUCGGCCGUUAAACACCACUGUAAUUUUUACAA